rnacentral:rRNA from 1 species
UACGUAGGUGGCAAGCGUUACCCGGAAUUACUGGGUGUAAAACGUGGGUAGGUGGUAUAGCAAGUACAAUGUGAAAUCCUACGGCUCAACUGUAGGGCUGCAUUGUAAACUGCUAUACUAGAGUAGGGUCGAGGUGAACGGAAUUCCCGGUGUACCGGUGAAAUGGGUAGAUAUCGGGAGGAACACCAGUGGCGAAAGCGGUUCACCAGGCCCUUACUGACACUGAGGUGCGAAAGCUGGGGGAGCGAAAGGG